GAACAUUUAUACUAUGUACCAUAAAUUGUUAAACCAAUUAAGGUGUACUACAAUUAUCCCAUACAUCCUAACUUUAAAAACGUAUCUAUAUUAAACCAGAACUUCUUUAACUUGUCAACUCCCUAUCAUGUCUUGCUAACGGCUUGUACGGUAAUAAUAUCGUUAUAUUUUUGGCGGCUGAGCAUGUUAACUCGAUAAAUACUAAAAUAUAUUAUAUAUCGAAGCAUCCAUCAACAGCUAUGGUAACUAUAUUUAUAUUAUCCUUACUUUAAACAUAAUUAUAACCUUACGGUCUGUAUUGUUCUGCACAGUAUUCAGAAAUAUCGUCUUAUCGUAGCCUUGUAAUUUUUAAUGUUUGCUU
rnacentral:rRNA from 1 species